GAUGCUCAGCGCCGGUAUCAACAGUGACUCCAGUUGAACAGAGCUGCUGGAAAUGACUUGCAAAAAUCAAUUAGAAACCGAGGCUGGCUGAGCGCUUUCCAGUGGUAGGAGUUCUCAGCAGAAAGUGGGAUCCGUCGUGAAACCGAGCAAGGGGAGCUGUUACUGCUGCUGGGGCUAGAAGAACGUUGUUGAAACAAGCCCGAGAAAGGCUUCUAGGAUUUGACACAACACUUGUGAUGCAGUCACUGUGUUUGCAUCAGUGCUGUGAACCGUGAGCACAGAUGUGACAAGGGGAGAAGUGCACUUGCUUUUGGCACUGUCAAAAAUAGGUGUUACCUGGGGAGUGUGCAUCCCAGGCUAGUUACAGUCUGACCUGCAGGAUCAAAUGGGAUAAGAGCACGUUGUCUCAAGUAUGGCACAGACAAUUGUUACAGAUAAUCCAGAAUUGUGGCUUAGAUGCAUAAUAUGGUUUAGUGUUUUAUGUAGAAUAACUCCUUACUGGCUGAACUCUGGGUGGACGAGGUCAUUUCCCAGCAGCUCUAGCUGCACCCCCAUGUCACACAGCACCUGAUGCAGAAUGGAUCCUUGGUGUCUUAGACUUGGGGGUAGCUGUUGAAACUCUCCUGCAGGGAAGUGGAUAAAUAAAAGCUCAAUAAAACUUCAUUAAGAGCAAACUAUAGGUAAGACAUUAUUUACAGAAUGUUUUAUUAUUGCAGUAACUUCUACAGCCAGCUCUGAAUCGGAUGUUAUGCUAACAGAAGAAAUGAGCUCAGUGCUGAUCUAUAAAAUAGCUGAUGCCUGGUGACUCAUGAUCCUGGCACACCUGCUUUAUGCAAACAAAAAAUAGCACUGUGCAGUAGUAGAUACACGCUGACUUUUUGUUGGGGUCACUGCCCCAGAGCUUACAGCACUGAUCCCAGUACAGAUCCCUGAGGGGCACUGCUUGACGCUGAUCUCCACCUGGACCUUAAGCUACUGAGUAUGAUUUUGCAACCAAUUCUACAUCCAUUGGAUGGUUCACCCAUCAAAUCCACACAUUUCCAAUUUAGAGAGAAGAGUGUUACGUGGGACCCUGCCAAUGGCCUUACUGAAGUUCAGAUGGAUUACAUUAGUGGCUCUUUGUCCACUGCUGCAGUUACAGCAUCGUAGGAGGCCACGAGGUUGGUCAGGCAGGACUUGCCCUUGGUGAAGCCAAGCUGGUUCUGUCACUCUGAACAAUAAAACUGGGACAGUUAUCUGGGUGGACUGUCUCUACCUGAGGACGGGCUGGGCACUGCUUGGCUGGUGAUGACCAGUUGUGUUUUGCACUGUUUUACCUCUUUCUUACUGAACGACCUGUAUCUUAACCCACAAGUUUUCUAACUUUUCACCUUCUGAUUCUCUUCGCCCCAUCCUGCAGGAGGGGGAACUGAGUGAGCAGCUUUGUGGUGCUUAGCUGUGUACUGGGGUUAAACAAAUCCUAGGUUCUCACUAUGGAAUGUCACUGCAUAGACAUGGCAAGGAAAAAUAAAAAAGGGCAAAGAAAUCUAGUACGAAAUACAUGAAUACAAGUAACAUCAUAAAAUGUGCACAGAACUUAUUAAAUGGAUUAAAUUGGCUUAAAAGCAGACUUCAGAAUGGAAAAAGAAACAUUUUAAUGCUUAUUAAUCAAUUUUGUGAAGCUACCUAAUCAUUUUAUUGGUCAUCCAAAUGUUAUCACAGGUCUCUGCCAGUUCUAUCUGUAGAUGGCACAGACUCGUUGAGAAGUAAAUAAUAAAGUUACUCCUACAUCAUGUUUUGAAUUACCUAAUUAAAUAGUCACAGUCCAGCAGUGUGCACUUUAAUACAGCUAACUGCAAGCUGAUACACUGAGGCUAUAUGGGCUACACUUACAGGAGGAGAAACCCUAUGUUCUGACUUGGGAAAGGAAUAUAGGUUCAUCAUAGCAAAUUGUUUCAGCCUGAGCUUCCAUUGUAAGUGUAAGUCAAGUUAACUACGUGAUCUGUGGAUUUGUCAAAAAGGUGAUCACAGGAAAUGUGGCAGGGAAGGGGUUUCUCUUUCGUAUGCAGCACUGAUAAGACAGCUUCUGCAAUGGUGUGUUAUUUUAAUGUGGCUUCAACCUAGGGAACGAACAUACAAACUUGAUGAUGUGCUGCUAACAGACCCUCAGCAAUGAAAGGAAGGUUAAGACUGAAGUAAAUAACAGUAUAUACAUAUGUAUAUAUGGAAUAAUAUGGAUAAUAGCAAAGGCUUUUGAAUAUGUUGAGAAAAGGCACAAGAAGAUACAGUCGCAGAAAUUUAAAGCUGAAUGAACUAUUGUAACAUCCAUAUAAUGCCCGUAUAUUGUCAGCAUUGGUGGAGGUGGUGUCGUGUCAGUGCUGAAUUGGAUUCUUCAUCCUUUCUAAAGAGGAUCUGCAGAUAGAGAAAUAUAAAUGAGCUUCUAAUC
ensembl:lncRNA